GCAUAUCAAUAAGCGGAGGAAAAGAAACCAACAGGGAUUGCCCUAGUAACGGCGAGUGAAGCGGCAACAGCUCAAAUUUGAAAUCUGGCCUCGGCCCGAGUUGUAAUUUGCAGAGGAAGCUUUAGGCGCGGCACCUUCUGAGUCCCCUGGAACGGGGCGCCAUAGAGGGUGAGAGCCCCGUAUAGUUGGAUGCCUAGCCUGUGUAAAGCUCCUUCGACGAGUCGAGUAGUUUGGGAAUGCUGCUCAAAAUGGGAGGUAAAUUUCUUCUAAAGCUAAAUACCGGCCAGAGACCGAUAGCGCACAAGUAGAGUGAUCGAAAGAUGAAAAGCACUUUGAAAAGAGGGUUAAAUAGCACGUGAAAUUGUUGAAAGGGAAGCGCUUGUGACCAGACUUGCGCUGGGCUGAUCAUCCGGUGUUCUCACCGGUGCACUCUGCCCGGCGCAGGCCAGCAUCGGUUCUCGCGGGGGGAUAAAGGCACCGGGAACGUGGCUCCUCCGGGAGUGUUAUAGCCCGGGGCGUAAUGCCCUCGCGGGGACCGAGGUUCGCGCAUCUGCAAGGAUG
rnacentral:rRNA from 1 species